rnacentral:rRNA from 1 species
GGUUCGAUUAUGGCUCAGAUUGAACGCUGGCGGGAUGCUUUACACAUGCAAGUCGAACGGCAGCACGGACUUCGGUCUGGUGUGGCGAGUGGCGAACGGGUGAGUAAUGUAUCGGAACGGUGCCUGGUAGCGGGAUAACUACGCGAAAGCGUAGCUAAUACCGCAUACGCCUUCGGGGGAAAGUAGACUCCUGGGCUCUGGCACUAUUAGAGCGGGCCGAUAUCGGAUUGGCUAGUUGGUGGGGUAACGGCUCACCAAGGCGACGAUCCGUAGCUGGUUUGAGAGGACGACCAGCCACACUGGGACUGAGACACGGCCCAGACUCCUACGGGAGGCAGCAGUGGGAAUUUUGGACAAUGGGGAAACCCUGAUCCAGCCAUCUCCAAGUGUGGUGAUGCGAAGGCCUUCGGGUUGUAAAGCACUUCUUUUGGCAGGAUGGGAAGAAACGGCACGGGAUAAUACCCCGUGCAACUGACGGUACCUGCAGAAUAAGCACUGGCUAACUACGUGCCAGCAGCCGCGUAAUACGUAGGGUGCAAGCGUUAAUCGGAAUUACUGGGCGUAAAAGCGUGUGCAGGCGGUUCGAAAGAAAGACGUGGAAAUCCUGAGCUAACUUUGAACCGCAUUUUGUUCACCGAGCUAGAGUGUGUCAGAGGAGGUGGAAUUCCGCGGGAGUAUAAAUGCGUAGAUACGCGGAGGAACACCGAUGGCGAAGGCAGCCUCUGGGAUAACACUGACGCUCAUGCACGAAAGUGUGGGGAGCAAACAGGAUUAGAUACCCUGGUAGUCCACGCCCUAAACGAUGUCAACUAGCUGGGGCCUUUCGGCCUGCAGUGGCAGCUUGGUCACAGGAAGUUGACCGCCUGGGAGUACGGUCAAGAUUAAACCAAAAAGGAAUUGAUGGGGACCCGCACAAGCGGUGGAUGAUGUGGAUUAAUUCGAUGCAACGCGAAAACCCUUACCUACCCUUGACAUGUCUGGAAUCCCGAAGAGAUUUGGGAGUGCUCGCAAGAGAACCGAACACAGGUGCUGCAUGGCUGUCGUCAGCUCGUGUCGUGAGAUGUUGGGUUAAGUCCCGCAACGAGCGCAACCCUUGUCAUUAGUUGCUACGAAAGGGCACUCUGGAGAUCGCUGGUGACAAACCGAGAAGGUGGGGAUGACGUCAAGUCCUCCAUGGCCCUUAUGGGUAGGGCUUCACACGCCACACAAUGGUCGGGACAGAGGGUCGCCAACCCGCGAGGGGGAGCCAAUCCCAGAAACCCGAUCGGGGUCCGAUCGCAGUCUGCAACCUGACUGUGCGGAAGUCGAAUCGCUAGUAAUCGCGGAUCAGCAUGUCGCGGUGAAUACGUCUCGGGUCUUGUACACACCGCCCGUCACACCAUGGGGAGUGGGUUUUACCAGAAGUAGUUAGCCUAACCGUAUGGGAGGGCGAUUACUACUGUAGGAUCUUAUGAUCGGGGUGAAGUCGUAACAAGGUAGCUCUAGCGCUACCUGAUACCCCAGGAGUACGAUGCAACUGAACGA